AGACCCCGCUCCUUUCUUGAUCGACCCGGGCUACAUAGAGAGGUACAUGAGACUGAACCCCUCCACCUUUGCAGGGGGAUCCUCUUUUGAAGAGGCCCAGUACUGGCUGGCGGAGACUGAGAGAGCUAUCAGGACCUUGGGAGUAGUUCCUGAGCAGAGAUCCGCCCUUGCUUCCUACAUGCUGGUAGGGGAAGCAAGACGUUGGUGGGAGCUCAAGCAGACCACCAUGCUUACACCAGUCACUUGGGAGCAGUUCUUAGUGGCCUUCCAU
rnacentral:lncRNA from 1 species